rnacentral:rRNA from 1 species
UACGUAGGGUGCGAGCGUUAAUCGGAAUUACUGGGCGUAAAGCGUGCGCAGGCGGUUUUGUAAGCCCGAUGUGAAAGCCCCGGGCUCAACCUGGGAAUGGCAUUUGGGACUGCAAGGCUUGAGUGCGGCAGAGGAGACUGGAAUUCCUGGUGUAGCAGUGAAAUGCGUAGAUAUCAGGAGGAGUACCGAUGGCGAAGGCAGGUCUCUGGGCUGACACUGACGCUCAUGCACGAAAGCGUGGGGAGCAAACAGG